CUGACUGAAGAGUUUGAUCCUGGCUCAGGAUGAACGCUAGCUACAGGCUUAACACAUGCAAGUCGCGGGGCAGCAUGGGGGCAGCAAUGCCCCUGAUGGCGACCGGCGCACGGGUGAGUAACGCGUAUCCAACCUGCCCGGCACCCCGGUAUAGCCUUCCGAAAGGAAGAUUAAUCCCGGAUGUUGCGGUGAUUCCGCAUGGAAUUACCGCUAAAGGCCAGCGGUGCCGGAUGGGGAUCCCUCCC
rnacentral:rRNA from 1 species